CACCAAGGGUACUCAGUUGUCAGCAAAGACUUUACGAGGUUAUCGUGUGAAAAGCAGAGAAAUUCAAACACCAUGCGCAGCUGCCACUGAAACGACUUGGGAAGCCCUGACCUCCACACCCAUCAAGUCACGGCCAGCCAAAAGACCACGCUUGGCUGUGGAGGAGGAUGACGAUGAACUGCUAGAUGAAGGGGAAGACUCCUCAUUAGUCGCUGAACCACAUGACUCCACAUAUGUGCCCGACCAAGACACAAUGUCAGACUUGGAGUCAUCGCAUAUUUCUGACACCAGCCACAGUCACACAGAUGUUAAGUACAUUGUGAGCGAGAAGUGCCUUUUGGAGAUCUUCGAAAAGUGCCCCCUUUGCAAAACAAAAAGCGAUGUCACACCGCACAGACGAGGCACCUUCUUGACUGUACAGCAAAAAUGUGGCCGGUGUGGGUACUACCGGGAAUGGAGCAGUCAGCCAGUGACAGGGACCUGUCCAACAACAAAUUUACAACUCUCUGCAGCCAUUUACUUCACCGGCACAUCAUUUUUCCAGCUGAACAAGGUAUGGGAUCACACUUAGCACCAUCACA